rnacentral:rRNA from 1 species
GAUGAACGCUGGCGGCGUGCCCAAUACAUGCAAGUCGAGCGAACAGACGAGGAGCUUGCUCCUCUGACGUUAGCGGCGGACGGGUGAGUAACACGUGGAUAACCUACCUAUAAGACUGGGAUAACUUCGGGAAACCGGAGCUAAUACCGGAUAAUAUAUUGAACCGCAUGGUUCAAUAGUGAAAGACGGUUUUGCUGUCACUUAUAGAUGGAUCCGCGCCGCAUUAGCUAGUUGGUAAGGUAACGGCUUACCAAGGCGACGAUGCGUAGCCGACCUGAGAGGGUGAUCGGCCACACUGGAACUGAGACACGGUCCAGACUCCUACGGGAGGCAGCAGUAGGGAAUCUUCCGCAAGGGGCGAAAGCCUGACGGAGCAACGCCGCGUGAGUGAUGAAGGUCUUCGGAUCGUAAAACUCUGUUAUUAGGGAAGAACAAAUGUGUAAGUAACUAUGCACGUCUUGACGGUACCUAAGCAGAAAGCCACGGCUAACUACGU